UACGGGGGGGGCAAGCGUUGUUCGGAAUUACUGGGUGUAAAGGGCUCGUAGGUGGCCAACUAAGUCGGACGUGAAAUCCCUCGGCUUAACCUGGGAACUGCGCUUGAGACGGGUGGGCUAGAGAUCGGGAGAGGAGAGUGGAAUUCCCAGUGUAGAGGUGAAAUUCGUAGAUAUUGGGAAGAACACCGAUGGCGAAGGCAGCCAUCUGGACCGACACUGACGCUGAGGCGCGAAAGCGUGGGGAGCAAACAGG
rnacentral:rRNA from 1 species